rnacentral:sRNA from 1 species
CAGGGAGGUGCAGAAGGCUGAAGAAAAGGAAGUCCCUGAGGACUCACUGGAGGAGUGUGCCAUCACUUGUUCAAAUAGCCACCACCCUUGUGAGUCCAACCAGCCUUACGGGAACACCAGAAUCACAUUUGAGGAAGACCAAGUCGACUCAACUCUCAUUGACUCAUCCUCCCAUGAUGAAUGGUUGGAUGCUGUAUGCAUUAUCCCAGAAAAUGAAAGUGAUCAUGAGCAAGAGGAAGAAAAAGGGCCAGUGUCUCCCAGGAAUCUGCAGGAGUCUGAAGAGGAGGAAGCCCCCCAGGAGUCCUGGGAUGAAGGACAUUGGUGUGAUCAAGUGAAAAAGGAGGACCAAGAGGCCACAAGUCCCAGGCUCAGCAGGGAGCUGCUGGAUGAGAAAGAGCCUGAAGUCUUGCAGGACUCACUGGAUAGAUUUUAUUCAACUCCUUUUGCGUACCUGGAACUGCCUGACUUAUGCCAGCCCUACAGAAGUGACUUUUACUCAUUGCAGGAACAACACCUUGGCUUGGCUCUUGACGUGGACAGAAUUAAAAAGGACCAAGAAGAGGAAGAAGACCAAGGCCCACCAUGCCCCAGGCUCAGCAGAGAGCUGCCGGAGGUAGUAGAGCCUGAGGACUUGCAGGACUCACUGGAUAGAUGGUAUUCGACUCCUUUCAGUUAUCCAGAACUGCCUGAUUCAUGCCAGCCCUACGGAAGUUGCUUUCACUCAUUGGAGGAAGAACACGUUGGCUUUUCUCUUGACGUGGAUGAAAUUGAAAAGUACCAAGAAGGGGAAGAAGAUCAAAACCCACCAUGCCCCAGGCUCAACGAGGUGCUGAUGGAAGCAGAAGAGCCUGAAGUCUUGCAGGACUCACUGGAUAGAUGUUAUUCGACUACUUCAACUUACUUUCAACUACCUGACUCAUUCCAGCAGUACAGAAGUGCCUUUUACUCAUUUGAGGAACAGGACAUCAGCUUGGCCCUUGA